rnacentral:rRNA from 1 species
UUGACCUGCCGGACCUGACUGCUAUCGGAUUGGUACUAAGCCAUGCGAGUCGUUGUAGCAUACAAGGCGGACUGCUCAGUAACACGUAGUUAACUUAACCUAUGGAUGGGAAUAACCUCGGGAAACUGAGAAUAAUACCCAAUAGACCACAGUGCCUGGAAUGGCCUGUGGUUGAAAUGAUUUAUCGCCGUAGGAUAGGACUGCGGCCUAUCAGCUUGUUGGUGAGGUAAUGGCCCACCAAGGCUAUAACAGGUACGGGCUCUGAGAGGAGGGGCCCGGAGAUGGGUACUGAGACACGGACCCAGGCCCUAUGGGGCGCAGCAGGCGAGAAACCUUUGCAAUGUGCGAAAGCACGACAAGGUUAAUCCGAGUGUCUCCUGCUAAAGGAGUCUUUUGUCAGUUGUAGAAUCACUGGUGAAUAAGGGGUGGGCAAGUUCUGGUGUCAGCCGCCGCGGUAAAACCAGCACCUCGAGUGGUCAGGAGGUUUAUUGGGCCUAAAGCAUCCGUAGCCGGUUGCAUAAGUUUUCGGUUAAAUCUAUGCGCUUAACGUAUAGGCCGCCGAAAAUACUGUGCAGCUAGGGAGUGGGAGAGGUCACGGUACUCGAUAGGACGGGGUAAAUCUUUGUCUAUGGAGACCCUGUGCGAGGCGUGUCAGAACGUUCCGGGAGGUGAGUGGGGACACCGUUAAUCCGGUUCCCUGUACGGCGAUCGGUCUGGUUGGCA